UCAAAAACAUGUCCUUUAGUGAUUUAUUUAAGGUCUAACCUGCCCAAUGAGGUAUUGAAUGGCCGCGGUAUUUUAACCGUGCUAAGGUAGCGUAAUAAUUUGUCUUUUAAUUGAGGGCUAGAAUGAAAGGUUGGACGAGGCAUAAGCUUUCUUUGGUUUAAUUAAAAGAAUUUAAUUUUUGAGUCAAAAAGCUCAAAUUUUUUUAUUAGACGAGAAGACCCUAUAGAUCUUUACAAUUGUAGCGGUUUAAUAAUUUAGGGAUUUAUUUAUUUAAAUUGUUAUUAUUGUUUUGUUGGGGUGACAAUGGGAUUUUUUUAACUCCCAUUUAUAUUUAUUCAUUUAUGAGUGUUUUUAUGAUCCAUAAUUUAUGAUUAUAAGAUUAAGUUACCUUAGGGAUAACAGCGUAAUUUCUUCGGAGAGUUCAUAUCGAUGAUGAAGUUUGCGACCUCGAUGUUGGAUUAAAAUUAGGGGCGGAUGUAGCAGUCUGCCUACUGGGUCUGUUCGACCCUUAAAUUUUUACAUGAUCUGAGU
rnacentral:rRNA from 1 species